GCGUGUUUCCUUCCUUACUCCCGAUAGCGGGACACGACGGUGAUAUUUUCGCCAUGGGAAGAUAUAUAACGUCGGGAUAAGGAAUGGUCAUUUCGUUUCGAGCGUACACUCUCGCAGGAUUACCUGGCCAUCGUUUGUUAUCGCAACGCGCGGAGAUAAUGUCCGAUCUAUCGAUGCCCGGGAUAUUUGGCAGUAAAUGGACAUUGUUUGCUCAUUUUUCAGAUGGCACCUGAUGCUGCGAGCGAAACGGGGCGGACUCGUAUAUCGCGGCGAUCUUUACAUACGCGCGUGGCAGCUGCAGAGCGAGUCGCGUCGUCAAGCGCAUCGGCAUCAAGUCAACCUUUGCUUGUCGGAGGGUGGUUGUUCGACACCGCGUGUCGCCAGUGUGUCGGUACAUCUCGAGCAGGACAGCAACAAGUCGGAGCAGCUGGAGCGGGCACCGCGGUGUAACGUACGUACCUGUAGACAGACGCGAAAGGGAAAGGGACGCGUGACGGCGCCGGCCCUCAUGGUUCAGAAUCUUUUGGAGACGCUCUAGCUCCGACGGACUUUCUCGUAACUCGUCGGACCCGCCUGUCGGUCUCUCGAGCGACGGCUUAACGAGACAGCUAACGGGAUAACGAGCCUCGGCGGACUCGAAGCUGCCGCCUCGAAGAACUCGCCGCCGAGAAAGGAGACCGGGAGAAGAGCCGAAUCCGCCUCGAGCUGUCGACGUUCCCGUGUUUACUCGUGCGAUACGUACCUCUUUAGCGAACGAUGGACGGAACGUGAGCGGAACGGCGAAGGGACGCGGCCGCGCGCGCGCCGCGGGAAUUAUCCGAGGUCCGGGCCCGACGUCGGGUGUUCCAGGUCCGUAAGGUGCCGCGGCUACGUCACCGGGAUCCCGGACGGUCGCGUUUUCACGGGAGAGGACCAAACGCUUCGAUCGGUUUCCCACGUGAUCCGCGUGGUCGAGGGAAACUGGAGACCGAAGGGGACAUCGCGCGAGCACGACGGUGAUCGUUGCGCGUGCCCCGAGAGGUGAUCACCCGGCGCUGGUAAUAUAGUUACUAUCAGUAGUGUCGAGAUGUUUCUAUAAAUAUUCGCUGUACUUCGAGUGUGCUUUCGACGUUUUCAGAGAAACACCGCUCGUCCCGAUGGUACCCUUGCCCCCCCCCCCUCCGUGUAGCGUUCCCUCGGUACAUUCGGCUAGAAGAACGAUGUAACGAGGCCGAGCCGCGUUCUCGUUCCCAGGGUCCCGCGACUGUGUUAUCGUAGCGACGUUUCGACAGAGGCUCGUUCGCUGGGCUCGAUCCUACCGAACGGGCGAACGCGACGGUCAAUUUCUACCGAAGCGACUUGUAACGAAGGGAUAAUGGAAUUUUCGACGAGCUGUAUCGUCGUCGUUCUUCGAAUCGCGAUCAUCGUUCGUAUAUACAUGGAGAUCACUGUGGAGAGAGACUUCGUAGAGACGAAACCCGCGAGGAGGUUGCACAGGUCGGCUUGAUUUUUGCCGAAUUUAUACGCGAUGUGGAACUUGGGAAUUAUUCGGCACGCGAAGUACCAUAAAUCAAUUCUCAAAAUUGCUACAGCAUCAAAGUCAUUUAAUUUACGAAAUUGAAACUAGAAAUUAAAAUUUGUUACAGUUGAUAGUAUUUCAACGCAUUUGCACUUUAAGCAAGCGUUAGGUUGGCCAGAAAAUUCGUGCGAUUUUCGACGAUUCUCGAAGUUAGCCGUUCCAAAAUGCGACUAAUUUCAAUUUGUUUGUCUAAAGCAGACGGUAGCCCGACAGAUAACACUUUUACCUGAAAUUAUAUCCAAUGAUCUUCCAAGAUUUCCGUAUGGUGAAAAGAGUGAAUUUUUAUAAACCGGGAAAUGAAAUUAUACAAAGGAUAAAGAAAGACAUUUCUUUAAAUAAAAAGACCGCACAACCUAAUGCAAUAAAAGUGAACCAACGUACCACUGAACGCGUUAUAAACACGAAUAAUAGUUCAAGUUCUACGCGACAAGUAAGUUUCUCGAAAAUCGAAGAGACUGCAACGCUCCUUGUCGGAUCAGUCCAGUCGGAAUGCGCGCGAAAAAAUGCUAGAAGAUGUGCGACUAGACGCCGGUCUUUACAGCGAGGUGUGCCGUUCCGAAGAGUAUUUUUCUUUCGAUCUUCGUUCCUACGAGACAGAGACGCUUUCGCAUCGAGUCACGCGAACCGCGAGUGUGUAACUCGCCGAAAUGUAAAUAGAGAAUCCUGUACUAUCGGUCGGUCCGCGGCUUAGCGAUCACGUGUUGAACGAUGCCUUUCAAUGAUUCGUGUUAUCGACAGCCUAAAGUCCUCGCGGCAGCUCCCGCGAUCUCCGGCCGAGGUUCGCGGUAUUGUUCGAGCAGGAGCGGGAAUCGUUGAGAGGCACGGGACACUGCGUGCCGAAAACGAGCGUCGAACCGCUCUCGAAUUUAUUUUUCACACGACGCGAGCGGGUCGACUCGGAUCACUCGGAUCGUUUCUCGCGUGUUCCUGUCCCCGAUUCAGUGGACACGUAGCUCUCUUUCUCUCCUCCUCCUUUUCUGCCCCCCUCUCUCUUUCUUUCUCUCUCUCUCUCUCUCUCUCUCUCUCUCUCUCACUCUCACUCUAUCUCUCCGUACGUAACUACACGGUGCCAAUCUUAGCGUAACGAACGUACCACCGAUUUUGGCCGUUUGGUAUGGCUUUUAUAAGAAAACUCGGCUAAGGGAAUGAUACGAAGGUAUAGUAGAUAACGUCAUUCUUCGAUGAGCUUUGUUCGGCGACGUUUAUGGUGCCGGUUAACGCGCGAUUUACGAGGCGUUCGGAAAAACCUGUUCACGAUUGCGACGAAAAAAAUGAAUUCCAUCGAAGAGUUCUCCUUCGAACUUGUUCGAACAAAUUCUGGCAUAGUUUGUAGCAUCGGCAGAACUUGUAAUACCGCUCGUGCUUCGUUACUCGAUGUCCAAAACGUUGGUGACAAGCGGAUUAUAAUAUGUAACAGCAGAGGACACGGCUGCGUCAUCGCGCAGCAUAUGCUGCGGAUUAUAAUUACGACGAAUAGAGAAUGUAAUUAUUGUUUCGCUGAAUGCGUUCAUGAAAAAUUCUCUAACAGGAUUGCUAGAUCUCUGUGCGACGUAUUAAUACGAUUACAACUGGGUCAAAAUGACCUAGUAUCUGCCAGGCAAUGGCCAGACACUAAAUUCUGUUGGUAUUACGGAGUUGAAAUUGCUUCCAUUAUGUUUGGCAAUUUAGUUACUAAUUUAACAUGCUUCGAGGUAAUCGCUCUUGUAGCGGAGACCGUUGAAGGCCUUUUAUAACCAAUGUUCCACUAUUAACGGAUAAUCGCUUUUAAUUUAUGAGAGCAAGUAGACUACCGUGCGCAGCUAGUGUAACACGAUGCGAUUAACUGCUAACUCUUAGAACCGGAUCGAUUGUUUCACCCUUGUCGAGUUCUUGCAAUGCGAAAUUAUAGAUUUUCGAGCUCGUAAAAUUAAUAUCGCGGAGCCUCUCGUAUCGGAACGUUCUGUUGCCCGAAAAGGGGCCUCUCUGGCCAACCUGACUUUGCACAUGUAAAUACGAUGCUUUCCUUUGCGUCGCAACAAAAUUUUCUAAUUCCACUUGCAAAAAGGGUGUGCCGUUAAUGCGCAUUUAGGAAUACGAGUCAUCUUUAUAAAUAUUUAGAAGGAUCGACCAGCUUUUUUAUCUUAAUCCACCACAAUAUUUUUGUAAUUUAUUGUGAUUUUAAUUUUUAUUUCAAUUCUACUCUUAAUGUUAUUUUUGUUAUCGUUAACAUUAAUUUACAUUUUGAUAUUAAAUUUUAUGGUACAAUUAUUAGAGAACAAUGAACAAAUUGUGCAAUGUUUUGUUGUAAAUAGCUCGGGCAUGGAAGACUGUAUUGUGCACAUUUCAUUAAAGCAAAAUAUCAAUUUAAGCAAAAAGGGGGGAGCAACCACUGAACAGAGGAAAAAUAAUGAAUUACAUUUAGCAUCAAAGAGUAAACUGUUCUAUCUUUAGUUUCUAGCAAUUCUGACAUGGGAGACAGCACUCUACAUAUUUGAUUAAAUCAGAGUAUACUAAUUUCAGAAGAAUUUAAUAGAAGGAAGCAAGCACCGAACAGAGUAGGAAUUAAGUCGUCGUCGGACCUCUCGCGCAAGAAAUUCCGUGUGUCCGUGGUACAGUCAACACGAGACGGUUUUCAAUUAAAACGAACUUUGACCCGCGGCUGGUUCUUUUGUGUAUCUUUCCGAGUGAGGAGGGGUAUUGGGUCACUGCAACCGGAGGAGUUUCUUGGUCGAACGAGGUCGAAAGUGACGCAAAACAGACGACCGCCCUUUGGCAGAGUCGCUUCACACCCCGUGUCGGCGUGUCCUCGUAAAUCGUCGCUUUGAUCGAACGCAAAGCCGAAACGUUGUCAAAACUUAAUGGAAGACCAAUGUAUAUACCCUGUACACUAAAAACCGUUAAAACAUCGAAA